GGGCGAUAUGUACACAUUCUUUUACCUUCUUCAAAAAGUUAUACUUAAACAAUUUUACUAGCAAAUCCACCUUCCAAAAGUAUUAAAACUAAUAUCUGUUUUUUUAAAUUAAAUUGUAGCUCACCACUACCCUUUUAUUAGCUGCACCUUGACCUGAAGUAAAAAAAUUAUUUUUAUUUGAAAACGUUUCUUUAUGAAGUAAUCUGACAACGGAGGUAUACAAGCUCUACAAAAAAAGGUAAGAUAAAACGAGGAUUAUCGAUUAUAGGACAAGCUCCUCUGUUUGGUUAAAAAUGCCGCAAAACCUUUGGGUUUGAAGGAUAACUUUUACUACCCUUGAAAAAUAUUUAGAAAUUAACAGGGUAUCUAAUCCUGGUUUAUCAAUCUAAAUUUGUUAAACCCCUAAUUUUUAUAAAGAUUAUAUAUUUUAUUAUAUAAAUUCUACCUAAAAAAUAAAGUUAUUUUACACUUUAGUAAAAAUAAUAGUUAAUUAAAUUUAACAGAUUUCUUUACUUGGGGUUCUUCGUCUAACCGCGACGGCUGGCACGAUUUUAGUCAACCCCAAAGAUUUAACUAGACCCAAAAUAUUUGUUACCUAAGAUAAUCUACUACAUUUUAAUUAAUCUUAAAGUCUUUUGUUCUUAUAUAGAUCUAAUCUAUAGUAAAGAAAAACCA
rnacentral:rRNA from 1 species